AUAACCUAGGGAAAUGAAAUCUCUCCAGGAAGCCGUUCAAAAGCAGCUUAAUGAGGCAGAUGAGAAGGCAGAGAAGCAGCAGGCUACCAUUAAGUUUUUGAAGACUGAAAUGGAAAGGAAGAGCAAAAUUAUACGAGACCUCCAAAACGAGAAAUAAACAGCAAGAGGAGGAAAAAGGAAAUGCA